UUUGCUCAAUGUGGGCAGUGUUUGGUCCUUAGCCUGAAUGUGGCUCAUUUUAACUAGGUGUGCUCUGGUCUAUUUGUGAACUGAAACCUGUUGUUACCACUAUGGACACAGAAGCUCUGCAAAAUUCCUACAUCAGGAGCUUCCUGCCAACCACAGAUGAUGAAAAUCUCUUUGGAAGCCCUGGGUGAAGCUCUCUGGCUCCUAUGCUUACUCAUACAUACAUGCUGUGUUUACCAGUGGUAAGCCAUGAAACAUGCACUUCCCUUGGAAGAGUACUGGAGAAGAAUGGCAUGUGGUGGAGAUUAGCACAGAAAACCAGGGACAGGAAUCCCAGAACCUAGAUCUUAAAUUCAUCUCUACACCCAACCAUUUGCUAAAUUACAAAGAGCAACUGGAAGAAGACCAAAGAAAUUACUGGUGUGCUUUCCCCCUGGCACCAUCACCUCAAGGCUUUCUUCCCAAGCAAAGCCUACCUUAAGCCACUCUCCAUGGCCUCUGGCAUGCCCUCUGACCAGCAGCUUUGAGGAAGGGCUACUCCAAGGAACAAAUCAAAGCACACCUGGUGGAAGGUCCAAAAUAUCACUAGAAGUAGGGUAAUAAUAUAGUCAAAGUCACAAGAAAAAAAAACAAGUAAAAAUCUUCAAAAAAACAUCUCCUGAAGGGCCAGGCCCUGGACAGUGUAUGACCUCCCUUUAAUAUAGCAGUGGUCCCAGGUACAG